UUCAGGUUAUAUUGGUGAAGAUAGAAAUUCUCCUCUGAAUGCUAGAUUCCCUGGAUUGGAUCCAUCGGUCUCUGAUCGAGUUAAGAACCAGACAUGGGCUGUGAAGUCC